CAUGACCUGGCCUGAAGGCAGAUGCUUACAGACUGAGCCACCCAAACGCCCCUGUAAUUUUAUCUUAAAACAAUAUUAGACUGACCAGACAUCACUCCUUCCAGAGGACCGACACUCCCUACUGCCGCCCCCCACGAGGAAGAAAAUCACCAAGGGCUGAUAGAUCAACAUGACCCAGAAACCAGGUUGUUUGGAGGCCGCCCUACUCUGCCAAAUGUCCUAGCAGCACAGUAAAAGGGUCAAAACAAAA